CAGCCGCCGCGGGAAUACGUAGGUGGCAAGCGUUGUCCGGAAUUAUUGGGCGUAAAGGGCUCGCAGGCGGUUUCUUAAGUCUGAUGUGAAAGCCCCCGGCUCAACCGGGGAGGGUCAUUGGAAACUGGGAAACUUGAGUGCAGAAGAGGAGAGUGGAAUUCCGCGUGUAGCGGUGAAAUGCGUAGAGAUGUGGAGGAACACCAGUGGCGAAGGCGACUCUCUGGUCUGUAACUGACGCUGAGGAGCGAAAGCGUGGGGAGCGAACAGGAUUAGAGACCCCCGUAGUCCCUGUCUCUUAUAC
rnacentral:rRNA from 1 species